GAAGGGAGACCAUUAAGCUGUAGGCUUUCAGACAAAGCAAAUGACCAAUUACGGCAAUGGUUUGAAGAUGAUGAUGCGCUUGAGCGUGCUAUUAACAGAGAGUGGAUUUUGUUACCAUGCAGAGA